AUUGAAUCCAAAGUAAACGAAUAAAAAUAAGUACGAAUUGGAUGACUUUGUUUAAAUGAAAUAAAAUACAAUAGAGUUGUUUAACCAAUAUACGAAAUAAUGUAUUAUUUUAAAGAAAUAAAAUGAAUAAGAGAGAAAGAAAGAAAGAAAGAAAGAAAGAAAGAAAGAGAGUUGAUUUUUCAAAUAAAAAGUCGAGGAGUUUUGUCAAGCGAAAAAAAUGUUAUCUAUUUGGUUGUUCGUUGAGUGUGUGUAAGCUGGUGUCGCCUCGUGCACGAUAAGAACGCAUACGCAUAUUUACAUAAGUAUAUGAGUGCGUCCGGGUGAGGAAAAGGAUAAGAAGAAGUGAAUAAAAGUAUGAAGAGAGAGAAGGAAACGCGUUUUUAAACGUAAACGAAUGUGAAAUAAUGCUAUCGAAUAAAGAACAAGGAAAGAAGAAUUGGAGAAGAAGUAGAAGUAGUAGAAGAAGAAGAUGAAGACGAAGGAAAAUAAUUUAUUUCAUAUAUCAUUAACUUCAAAUCGGAUAAUUAUGUCUAUCAUUCUACGUGUACGUGAACACCUUUUUAUAAAAUAACA
rnacentral:lncRNA from 1 species